AGAUCUGUCAUUAUGUGGACUUCCGUUAGAAUUUGUCUCGUUGUGAAACUCGUUCUGUGCUUGUUUUGUUUUUGUGGCUGUUUAGAAGGAAGAAAAAAACGAUGGCAGUGAAACUUGUGUUAUCUCAGCAGGACGUGGCGCCUCUUGCUCCUCCAAGUCCUCGCUGUUCCCAGACCAAUAUGUUCACUAGAUUCCACUUAUUUCAUCCUCAUGUACAAAUCUGGGUGCUCGCUGCAGAUUUUAGCACGUUUCAGAGCCAGGGAAGGAGGCUGGCGUCUUCUUAUUUAAAUUCUGAGCUGUUUAUGAGGGAUUAUCUGAGCAGCAUAUAGCUGGAAGCUGAAUGAAGGAUUCUAUUCUCUCUCUGUGGGGAAACAACAGCUUUAAAAACAUGAUAUAUGCUGAGUACAGUCAGUCCAGCAGUGCUUUUAGGAUGCAGGGUGAUAUUAUACGAAGCGGCGCCAGGAUUCCUUUAAUGACUGCAGAUCUGGCAGCUCUGAAGUCCAACCACUCGCUGCUGAAGACCAAAACAGGACUUGAUUAGUGUUUCCUCUGCAGGGAAGCAGCUCUGGACAGAUGUACAGCGGCACCGACAGCGAGCUGCCAGCCGGAUUAAAAAAAAAACAAAAGAAAUCUUAAGAGAGGGACGAGUGGAAGCGUCUGAGCUGCAGUGGAGUGAGAGCAACAGUUGAGCUUCUCCCCUGACAGCUGUAUUAGCGCUAAUGACAGGCUGUGUUUCUGAAGCACCUGGCUGCAGCACGUCGAUACGAGCAAACAACAAAACCUCUCACACGGAAAUUACACGCUGGAAAUGCAUCCAGGACAGAGCGACACGAGGCCGACCCUCUGGAUGCACUCGGUGUUUCUGAAUCAUCCUCGCUGCUGAUGACACACUGUUGCUGCUGAUGACACACUGGUGGGUGAGAUCUGAGCCGGACGAGGUGUGAUGAAACCAGCGACCAAGAAUGACUCAUGAAGACACUCUCUGCGGCUGCUUAUCAGGAAAUCUGAGUCUGCAGCGGCUGAGAACCUGAGAAUCUCCUGUAGGACCCACGGUGAAUGGUCCAGUUUACACCACAGCGGUUUCAGGAUGGAGCCAAAUGUUUUGUUGUGUCGCUGUCUCCCGUUCACACAGAAACGGUGUUUUCAGGCCUCGACACGCUCGGAUAACGACGGUGAGAUCAUGGUGGUGAUAUCUUUGAUAUCUCUAAAUCGGUGGUCCUACGUCGUACUGUGAGACAGGUUCAAGGACGGCUGUGAGUAGCAUCAGGUGGGAUGUCUGAGCUCGUUCCUGAUUGGUCUGUGUUCCUGAGCUGGUAACCAACACCACAAACACGUCACCAAAGCGACCACUGAAAUUAAAAAUCCCAUUACAAUUUACUGAUUACAGCUCCGGGUCCGUAUAACACGUCAUCUGGGUCUGGAUCUGGUCCAGUUAGCGCCCCCUGCUGUGUAACAUAUUAGUGUGGAUAAUUCAUUGCAACUCUGAUUGUGUUUCUGGCUUCUUCUAUGAUAUAAAUAACGCUACAGGAUGCCAAAAGUAGCCCAUACCACCACCUUCUGUCAACAGUUACCUUCACACCUGCUUGACGUAUAUGCUGUAAAUAGUUUUCAAAAAUUCUUAUUCAUUAUUCAACAAAAACAGUUAAAAAACAGAAAAAAACAUAUUUACUGAAUUUACUGUUUUUGUAAUAAAAGUGAAUGUUUCCGAUUGA